CAAACUCAACAUUAUCCUCGGUGAUAGCCGAAAUGUUUUCAGCCAAAAGUUCCAUGGACUUCCUUAGAGAAACACGAUGAGAGCCAUGGUUUUUGAAACACACGUUACUACCAUGGAGGCUCUUAUUUUGCUUGCUGUUUUUCCCUCUAAUUCUCAUCCCCUUGCCCGAAUCAAAAUUUCCUAGUGGAGCCGAGGAACUACUUGUGGGCAAAUGUUCUUUAUUUUCUAAAAAUACUACUGCUGAAUACCUGCCGGAAUCCAAGCUUCCUACGUCCACCACAACCUCGCCUCUGUCCAACUCCUUUGAAGGUGAAUUAGAUCGGUGUAUUUCGUGCUCCUUUGCAGCUUGUAAAUCCUCUUCAACGAUGACCUGCUCAAAACUGAACACCACUGCAAGGGUUCGACCACUGCUUCCAGCUCCAACAGUACCCCGCUGAACUUUUGUCUGGCCCUAACGGUCCACAAGUGUCCAGGCCUGUAUAGGCGAAACCACCUCAAGGCCCAAACCAUGGGUAAGGGCAUCUGAACCCUGCAUUGUACCUUUAGAAUUUGUGUGGGCCGAAUUGUAACCCAAAGAUAAAAUCUUUAUUCUUUUUUAUAAUCGGGCCUGAAACAUUUUUGAGGCCCAACUCUUUAGUUUUACUGUUGCUAUUUCCCUUAUUAAAACCAGCUUGAACAUUAAUUUGGCUCCCCAAUUCUUUCCUCCAAUUAUCCUCAAUUAAGAUACCUUUUCUUUUAGAUUUUCGCAAAUCAGCCAUAUUCCUGUUUUGUGUUUCUCUAAUUAAAUCCCUAUUCUCUAGGCUACCAAAUCGGGAGCCAUCCUUAUCUCGCUCUUUAUUUUCGGUUGAUUUCAGCAUAUUGUCCCUAGAUUUACGCCUUGCUUUUCUUUCGACAAUCAUCAGGGUUCGAAGUUACCAUCUUUCUUCUUCGAUUCUACAAUGUUCACCUUUUGACUUUCCGAUUCUGUCACAGGCGAGUCUCUGUUCGCUUCAACCGUAGACUCAGAAGUUUUGAAUUUACAACUGUUCGCCUCAACCGUAGACUCAUAAGUUUUGAAUUUACAAAUGUUGUCAACGUGCCCAUACCUUCCACAAUGAAAACAUAUUGUAGAGAGGGAUUUGUAUUAUACAUGUUGUUUCCGAAUAUUAAUCAAUAUUUGGGAUACCAAUGGUUUUUCUAAGUUGACAUACACCGCCAUCCUAGAAAAUUUACCAUUCGCCUUACUAUCGGUGUUCAUGUCUAACUUGACCACUUUACCCACCAGUUCUCUGAUUUCUGUAAUGAUUUUGUGAUUGUACAG
rnacentral:lncRNA from 1 species